AUUGAACGCUGGCGGCAGGCCUAACACAUGCAAGUCGAGCGAGCGGCGGACGGGUGAGUAAUGUAUGGGGACUGCCCGAUAGAGGGGGAUAACUACUGGAAACGGUAGCUAAUACCGCAUACUAUCGGAUAACCCAUAUGGGAUUAGCUAGUUGGUUAGGUAAUGGCUCACCAAGGCGACGAUCCCUAGCUGGUCUGAGAGGAUGAUCAGCCACACUGGGAAUGGGACACGGCCCAGAAUCCUACGGAGGCAGCAGUGGGGAAUAGUGCAAAAUGGGCGCAAGCCUGAUGCAGCCAUGCCGCGUGUAUGAAGAAGGCCCUAGGGUUGUAAAGUACUUUCAGUCGGGAGGCGUUACCCGCAGAAGAAGCGCCGGCUAACUACGUGCCAGCCGCCGCGGUAAUAC
rnacentral:rRNA from 1 species